GUCUGGAUGGCUUAGUGGUCAUAGCAUCUGCCCACUAAGCAAGAGACCCGGGUUCAAAUCCCAGUCCAGCACA